rnacentral:rRNA from 1 species
UCUAUCCUACGGGAGGCAGCAGUGAGGAAUAUUGGUCAAUGGGCAAGAGCCUGAACCAGCCAAGUCGCGUGAGGGAAGACGGUCCUAUGGAUUGUAAACCUCUUUUGCCGGGGGGCAAAAAGCGGUACGUGUACCGCAUCGAGAGUGCCCAGAGAAAAAGAAGCGGCUAACUCCGUGCCAGCAGCCGCGGUAAUACGGAGGAUGCGAGCGUUAUCCGGAUUUAUUGGGUUUAAAG